ACAUGAACUGAUCAAAUAUCAGAACAGUUACACCACAUUAAACAGUAGGAUGUGAAUUCAAUUGAAAAAGUUUCCUAGGUAACUCUCGCUCAGAAACACAGAGAUCAUUAUUUGUUCUUAUCUGUAACACAGCCUAUUAAUUUCCCAGGUCGGGCAGUAAGCCUAUCACAAUUGCUAUCCUCGCGAUAUGUAGGAAAAGAAAGAAUUAUGCACUUACCGUUACGGUUUCAACUGAAUAAUAGCCACGAUCAACAUAAUCCCCCAUAAACAAAUAGUUCGUAUCUGGACACUACCAAUCAGAAAAAAAAAGCUCAGCAAGAUCAUGGAAUUGCCCAUGAAUAUCACCACAGAUUGUUACAGGGCUUUUGACGGGCUACAUGGAGAAGG